GUAAAGAGGCCCUGCGUUGGUGCCCCGCCGCAGCGGGGUGAAACGGGAACACGGUGCAAGACCGUGGCUGCCCCCGCAACUGUGAGCGGCGAGCGGCGAUUCGACGAAGCCACUGGGGCCAUCGGGCACCGGGAAGGCCGAAUCGCAGCAGGGACCCGCAAGCCAGGAGACCGGCCAGCGCGCGAGGCAACCC
rnacentral:ncRNA from 2 species